CCCAAACAUGUCUGCCCCCAGUGGCUGCGGCCAUCUUUGAGGCCCGGCCGGGAGCAGGGUGGCGCCAUGCUGGACCCACCCACCGAUGCCUCAGCCCCUGAACUUAGCACCAAAAGAGAAGCAAAGAAAUUGAACCCACUAGAGCUCUGCGAAGGACGGGGCACCCUACCCAGCUCCAGCUCCACCUGCACACAUUAGAAUCUACUCAGAACUUUGGCUCCAUCUUCAAAAACAUGCUCCUCUCAUAGCCUUUUCUUACUGGUUCAUGCAAACUUCAUUCUUUUGGUUGCUGGGUACAAAAACUUUGGAAUCAUUCUUGAUCCCCGUAGUGGGUUGAAUAGUGACCCCCCCUACACAUCCUGGAACCCGUGGGUGUGACCUGAUUUGGAAAAAGGGUAUUUGAAGGUGUAAUUAAGGAUCUGGAGAGAGACCAUCCUGGAUUACCAUGGGGGGGCCCUAAAUCCAAUGACAAGUGUCCUUAUAAGAGACACAGAGAAGAGAAGGCCACAGAGUGAAGUGAAGG